GUUCUCGUAGCUCAGUAGGAUAGAGCGAUCGCCUCCUAAGCGAUAGGCCGGCAGUUCGAAUCUGCCCGGGAACACCA
rnacentral:tRNA from 1 species